GCCUUCGGGCUGCGAGUAGAGUGGCAAACGGGUGAGUAUCGCGUGGGUGACCUGCCUUCGAGUGGGGGAUAACCUUCCGAAAGGGGGGCUAAUACCGCAUAACAUCCCGCCCUUGGAUGGGUGGUGAUCAAAGUCGGGGAUCUUCGGACCUGGCGCUUGAAGAGGGACCCGCGUCCGAUUAGCUUGUUGGUGGGGUAGCGGCCUACCAAGGCGACGAUCGGUAGCCGGCCUGAGAGGGCGGACGGCCACACUGGGACUGAGACACGGCCCAGACUUCUACGGGAGGCAGCAGUAAGGAAUUGUUCGCAAUGGGCGCAAGCCUGACGACGCAACGCCGCGUGGAGGACGAAGAUCUUCGGGUUGUAAACUCCUGUCAAGCGGGAAGAACAGCAUGCGGGUUAAUACCCCGCGUGCCUGACGGUACCGCUGAAGGAAGCCCCGGCUAACUCCGUGCCAGCAGCCGCGGUAAUACGGGGGGGGCAAGCGUUGUUCGGAAUUACUGGGCGUAAAGGGCUCGUAGGCGGCCAGCCAAGUCGGACGUGAAAUCCCUCGGCUCAACCGGGGAACUGCAUCCGAUACUGGUUGGCUUGAAGCCGGGAGAGGGAUGCGGAAUUCCAGGUGUAGCGGUGAAAUGCGUAGAUAUCUGGAGGAACACCGGUGGCGAAGGCGGCAUCCUGGACCGGUCUUGACGCUGAGGAGCGAAAGCCAGGGGAGCAAACGGGAUUAGAUACCCCGGUAGUCCUGGCCCUAAACGAUGAAUGCUUGGUGUGGCGGGUAUCGAUCCCUGCCGUGCCGGAGCUAACGCAUUAAGCAUUCCGCCUGGGGAGUACGGUCGCAAGGCUGAAACUCAAAGGAAUUGACGGGGGCCCGCACAAGCGGUGGAGCAUGUGGUUUAAUUCGACGCAACGCGAAGAACCUUACCCGGGCUUGAAGUGCGAGUGGCAAUCGGCGAAAGCCGACUUCC
rnacentral:rRNA from 1 species